UACGUAGGUGGCAAGCGUUGUCCGGAUUUACUGGGCGUAAAGAGCGCGCAGGCGGCUGGGCAAGUCCGAUGUGAAAGCUUCCGGCUUAACUGGAAAAUUGCAUCGGAAACUGCUCGGCUUGAAGGUGGGAGAGGGUAGCGGAAUUCCCGGUGUAGUGGUGAAAUGCGUAGAUAUCGUAAGGAAGACCAGUGGCGAAGGCGGGUCUCUGGACAGUUCCUG
rnacentral:rRNA from 1 species